UACGGAGGGUGCAAGCGUUAUCCGGAUUCACUGGGUUUAAAGGGUGCGUAGGUGGGUUGGUAAGUCAGUGGGGAAAUCUCCAGGCUUAACUUGGAAACUGCCAUUGAUACUAUCAAUCUUGAAUACCGUGGAGGUCAGCGGAAUAUGUCAUGUAGCGGUGAAAUGCUUAGAUAUGACAUGGAACACCAAUUGCGAAGGCAGCUGGCUACACGAAUAUUGACACUGAUGCACGAAAGCGUGGGGAUCAAACAGG
rnacentral:rRNA from 1 species